CAGGCACAAUAGAAUUUCACUUUUGGUGUGAAGUCUGCUGGCAUGAGUUGGAAUGCAAGCAUCAGGGCAGGGCAGAUGUUCAGCGGCAUAUCAGCAGAGAGAGUCAUAUCAAAAAACAAAAAAUCCUUGACAGUUCCAAAAAACAGAUAGAUUUGUUUGUUCAAAGACUGAAGAGAUGAAUCUGGACACUCAGGCUAGAAGGGGAAGAGGUCAAAGUGGCAGUGACUCUGGUCAGCCACAAUAUCCCAUUAGCCUUUGCAGAUCACCUCAGCCCGCUAUUCAAAGAAUGCUUUCCUGAUUCUAAAAUUGCCAAGAAAUAUUGUUCCGCAAGAACAAAAACAUCAGCCAUCAUCAACAAGGCAAUUAGUCCUUAUUUGCUGAACGAGCUGGUGAGCAACAUGAGGUGUAAACCAUUUAGUCUGUUGACAGAUGGGUCCAAUGAUACAGGUGACCUUUUUAUUAUUUCCCUCUACCAUUAGGCUUUUACAUGGUGCUUGAAUCCAACCAUCUAAUCAAUCCAACAUAGAACAGGUAUAGAGAAUGACAAGUUGUGCAUUGCUUGAACUGCUGCUUUACUGUUUACUGACAAUGACGAUGGCAGAUUCAGUUAUUGUUUGAUUGUGUAAAACUUGUGGCUUGUUCUUAAGGAAAGGAAAAGAUGAACCCUUUGACUGUCAAAAUCUGGGAGACCAAUGGGGUUGCCCAUAGAUUUUUUGAUAUGGGAAUAACAACUGGAGAAGGCUGUGGCACUGCAGCAACCAUAUUCAGCAAGAUGGACUCUGUGUUGAAAGGGCACACUAUACCAUGGCAGAAUUGCAUUGCUCUUUCUGUGGACAAUGUCAGCGUCAACAUGGGAGACAGGAACUCUAUCAAGUCAAGGGUGAUGAAAGAAAUCCCUUCAGUGUUCAUCCUAGGUUGCCCAAUGCCACAUAGUGCACAACAAUGCCUCUGCUGCUGGUGCCGUGUACAGUGAGGUAAAUUGCUCAGUUAGUCUAGUCAUAGCAUUAUAAAGAUGAUGUAGUUCAAGCUCAAAUAAGAAACCACAUAAUGUCACAGACUAUUACAUGAAAGAAAAUGUUAAUCUGGUGUUCCUUAGGAAACCUGUCCCAUUUGCGUUAGCAUUCUUUCUUUAAAAGGAAAAUAAAUCCUUCCAGAUCAGGGUUCGAUGUUGAGGACCUGGCAGUAGAUAUGGGCUUUUGGUUCAAGGCUAGCACCAAAUGCAAGAACAUAUUGGAUGAGUUCUGUACCUUUUGUGACACAAGCUACAUGGAGACACUGCUGCAUGUGAGCACAAGAUGGCUUUGUUUGGAGAUGGUGGUCAGUCGGAUUCUACAUCUCUAUAAUGCACUCAGGAGAUAUUUUGGAAGCAUCCAUGAGAAGCAAGCCAGGUGUCCCUUACGAAAAAUAAGUUUAUUCAAGUGUGCUAUUAGUAUACUUAUUUUAAACUUAAAAUAGGAAAGUAUACUUUUAGUUUACUUUUUAUGUAGUUCUCAGAAAUGGGCUUUAUGUACUUC